AGGUAGUAAUAAACCUAUUUAUAAUGGCGGCUUUUCAUCUAAUUAGAGGAACCUGUUUAAUAAUCGACAAUCCACGAUAAAUUUUACUUUAAAUUAUAUAAUUUAUAUACCGCCAUUUAAAGAAUUUUUUAAAAAAUUUUUUCUAAAUAAAAAAUAAAAAAUUAGGUCAAGGUGUAGUUUAUAUUAAAGAAUAAAAUGGGUUACAUUAAACAAAUUUAAGGAUUUUAAAAUUAAAAUUUUUUAUUAAAUAGAUUUAAAAGUAAUUAUAUUUAAUAAUAUUAAAAUAUGAAUAAGAUAAUAAAAGUGU
rnacentral:rRNA from 1 species